GAUGAACGCUGGCGGCGUGCCUAAUACAUGCAAGUCGAACGCAUAGCGAAAGGUGCUUGCACCUUUCAAGUGAGUGGCGAACGGGUGAGUAACACGUGGACAACCUGCCUCAAGGCUGGGGAUAACAUUUGGAAACAGAUGCUAAUACCGAAUAAAACUUAGUGUCGCAUGACACAAAGUUAAAAGGCGCUUCGGCGUCACCUAGAGAUGGAUCCGCGGUGCAUUAGUUAGUUGGUGGGGUAAAGGCCUACCAAGACAAUGACGCAUAGCCGAGUUGAGAGACUGAUCGGCCACAUUGGGACUGAGACACGGCCCAAACUCCUACGGGAGGCUGCAGUAGGGAAUCUUCCACAAUGGGCGAAAGCCUGAUGGAGCAACGCCGCGUGUGUGAUGAAGGCUUUCGGGUCGUAAAGCACUGUUGUAUGGGAAGAACAGCUAGAAUAGGAAAUGAUUUUAGUUUGACGGUACCAUACCAGAAAGGGACGGCUAAAUACGCG
rnacentral:rRNA from 1 species